CUGGUUGAUCUUUCCAGUAAUCGUAUGAUUGUCUCAAAGAUUAAGUCAUGCAUGUGUAAGUAUGAACAAAUUCAGACUGUGAAACUGCGAAUGACUCAUUAAAUUAAUUAUAGUUUGUUUGAUGGUAUCUACUACUCGGAUAACCAUAGUAAUUCUAGAGCUAAUACAUGCAACAAAACCCGACUUCCGGAAGGAAUGCAUUUAUUAGAUAAAAAGGUCGACGCUGGCUCUACCCGUUGCUGCGAUGAUUCAUGAUAACUCAUCGAUUGCACGACCAUCGUGCCGACGACGCAUCAUUCAAAUUUCUUCCCUUUCAAAUUUUGAUAAUAGGAUAGUGGCCUACCAUGGUAGUGACAGGUGACAGAGAAUUAGGGUUUGAUUCCGGAGAAGGAUCCUGAGAAACGGCUACCACAUCCAAGGAAGGCAGUAGGCGUGCAAAUUACCUAAUCUUGACAGGGGGAGGUAAUGACAAUUAAUAAAAAUACCCGGCUCUAUGAGUCUGAUAAUUGGAAUGAGUACAAUCUAAAUCCCUUAACGAGGAUCCAUUGGAGGGCAAGUCUAGUGCUAGCAGCCGCGGUAAUUCCAGCUCCAAUAGCGUAUAUUUAAGUUGUUGAAGUUAAAAAGCUCGUAGUUAGACUUUGGGAUGGUCCGGCUGGUCCGCCCUAGGUAUGCACCGGUCGUCUCGUCCCUUAUGUCGGCGAUGCGCUCCUGUCCUAAAUGGUCGGGCCGUGCCUUCGGCGCUGAUACUUUGAAGAAAUUAGAGUGCUCAAAAGCAAGCCUACGCUCUGUAUACAUUCUCACAUUUCUUUAAGAAUUAAAAAGAGUUUGUUUGAUUUCUGAAUCGAAUUAUAUCAAUUUCAUAAAGAAUAUCUU
rnacentral:ncRNA from 1 species